AUUUGAGUACAGGGGUGCCUAUCGGCUGAGAGGGAUUCUGCCCAACCCUUUGAACCUGAUCCGGAUCAUACCGGCGAAGGGAGUACAGGCUGACAGGUG
rnacentral:ncRNA from 1 species